rnacentral:tRNA from 1 species
UGGCUCAGCGGUAAAGCGCUUGGCUUCCGAAUCAGGGUUCCCAGGUUCGAAUCCUGG